ACUCCUACGGGAGGCAGCAGUAGGGGAAUCUUUCCACAAUAGGGCGGGACCAAGCCUGAUGGAGCAACACCGCGUGAGUGAAGAAGGGUUCGGCUCGUAAAGCUCUGUUGUUAAAGAAGAACACGUAUGAGAGUAACUGUUCGUACGUUGACGGUAUUUAACCAGAAAGUCACGGCUAACUACGUGCCAGCAGCCGCGGUAAUACGUAGGUGGGCAAGCGUUAUCCGGAUUUAUUGGGCGUAAAGAGAGUGCAGGCGGUUUCUAAGUCUGAUGUGAAAGCCUUGGCUUAACCGGAGAAGUGCAUCGGAAACUGGAUAACUUGAGUGCAGAAGAGGGUAGUGGGAACUCCAUGUGUAGCGGUGG
rnacentral:rRNA from 1 species